rnacentral:rRNA from 1 species
UACGUAGGGUGCGAGCGUUGUCCGGAAUUACUGGGCGUAAAGAGCUCGUAGGUGGUUUGUCGCGUUGUUCGUGAAAACUCACAGCUCAACUGUGGGCGUGCGGGCGAUACGGGCAGACUAGAGUACUGCAGGGGAGACUGGAAUUCCUGGUGUAGCGGUGGAAUGCGCAGAUAUCUGGAGGAACACCGGUGGCGAAGGCGGCAUCCUGGACCAAUUCUGACGCUGAUGAGCGAAAGCCAGGGGAGCAAACGGG